rnacentral:rRNA from 1 species
GUAGGUGGCAAGCGUUGUCCGGAAUUAUUGGGGCGUAAAGCGCGCGCAGGUGGUUCUUUAAGUCUGAUGUGAAAGCCCCCCGGGCUCAACCGGGGGAGGGUCAUUGGAAACUGGGGAACUUGAGUGCAGGAGAGGAAAGUGGAAUUCCACGUGUAGCGGUGAAAUGCGUAGAUAUGUGGAGGAACACCAGUGGCGAAGGCGACUUUCUGGCCUGUAACUGACACUGAGGCGCGAAAGCGUGGGGAGCAAACAGGAUUAGAUACCCUGGUAGUCCACGCCGUGAACGAUGAGUGCUAAGUGUUGGGGGGUUUCCGCCCCUCAGUGCUGCAGCUAACGCAUUAAGCACUCCGCCUGGGGAGUACGGUCGCAAAGACUG